rnacentral:lncRNA from 1 species
CUAUCCUCUCCCUAUGCUUUCUCUCCCCAACUGCUACUUUACAGUCCAACUUUCCCAAGCUUUAGAAAAGUUUCUUCUUUCAAACUUGACUCAGGAAUCAUAUUUCCCAAAGCGGAGGCAGAUGGGAAAGCCCAUUUAACCAAACACACACCUUUAGUCUCCUAUCCGCUAUCUUGCCUCUAUUUUUGCAGGGCAAACCAGCCGCUACAGUCAAUCCCACUUUCUCUCUCUAGCACACUAGAUUUUCCUCUGACACAAAGUUUUGGCUUCCAGUGUAAUAUUUCUGAACAGCACUUUUCUUCCCAGUAGUGGUGGUAAUCGAGGAGGCUCCUGGUACAGAGCUCAGCACUCCUGGGAAGCUGUCCCUCCGACAACACUUCCAUAAUCUCUUACUUCUGAAAUGUUAAGUGUUCUCACUUUUCUGCAGUAUGGUACAAAAUGUAAUUGCGAACCACACUGACUUUCCAAAAAAAAAAAAA